GUGUGCCGGCGCGCAGGCUCCGGUUCCUGCGCACCGUCGGCGUCCACCUGACGAUUGCUCACGACGUUUGUCGGCC
rnacentral:sRNA from 1 species